GAUGAAGAACGUAGCGAAAUGCGAUAAGUAAUGUGAAUUGCAGAAUUCAGUGAAUCAUCGAAUCUUUGAACGCACAUUGCGCCCGCUAGUAUUCUGGCGGGCAUGCCUGUUCGAGCGUCAUUUCAACCCUCGAGCCCCCCCGGGGGCCUCGGUGUUGGGGGACGGCACACCAGCCGCCCCCGAAAUGCAGUGGCGACCCCGCCGCAGCCUCCCCUGCGUAGUAGCACACACCUCGCACCGGAGCGCGGAGGCGGUCACGCCGUAAAACGCCCAACUUUCUUAGAGUUGACCUCGGAUCAGGUAGGAAUACCCGCUGAACUUAAGCAUAUCAAUAAGCGGAGGA
rnacentral:misc_RNA from 1 species